rnacentral:rRNA from 1 species
GAUGAACGCUGGCGGCGUGCCUAAUACAUGCAAGUCGAGCGAACAGACGAGGAGCUUGCUCCUCUGACGUUAGCGGCGGACGGGUGAGUAACACGUGGAUAACCUACCUAUAAGACUGGGAUAACUUCGGGAAACCGGAGCUAAUACCGGAUAAUAUAUUGAACCGCAUGGUUCAAUAGUGAAAGACGGUUUUGCUGUCACUUAUAGAUGGAUCCGCGCCGCAUUAGCUAGUUGGUAAGGUAACGGCUUACCAAGGCAACGAUGCGUAGCCGACCUGAGAGGGUGAUCGGCCACACUGGAACUGAGAAACGGUCCAGACUCCUACGGGAGGCAGCAGUAGGGAAUCUUCCGAAAUGGGCGAAAGCCUGACGGAGCAACGCCGCGUGAGUGAUGAAGGUCUUCGGAUCGUAAAACUCUGUUAUUAGGGAAGAACAAAUGUGUAAGUAACUAUGCACGUCUUGACGGUACCUAAUCAGAAAGCCACGGCUAACUACGUG